GAGAACGUGUCGGAUCACUGGGCGUAAGGGCGCGUAGGCGGCGUGCCAAGUCAGAUGUGAAAGGCCACGGCUCAACCGUGGACGUGCAUCUGAAACUGGCAUGCUUGAGUACUGGAGGGGAGUGUGGAAUUCCUGGUG
rnacentral:rRNA from 1 species